AAUCUAACCUGAGACAUUCCAAAUGAGGAAUGUUGUGCUUUUCCAAUUGAAAGAACUACAGAUAAUGAAACCAAACUGAACAAGCCUUUUAGAAAGAUCGAUGCGAGAGCUUCACUCUUCAUCGUGCCCUUUCUGUGAGAGGAAGAGACAUGAAUGAGGAUAUUUGGUUGAAGAUCCAGUGUCACGGCUCUUGGCUCUCAGCUUGUUGACCUGAGACUCAGCAAUAUCAGCCCUCUCCUCUGCCUCAUCCAGCUCAUGCUGAAGCUUACGGAACUUGCCCAGGAUCCUGUUGGGAAAUCCCUUUCUGCAGAUUCUGAUGCCCUCCAGCACACCGUUACAGCGCAGCUGGUGCAUGACCAGAGGAUUCUCCAUCGCCCCAGGAGUCUUAGUCUCAUUGGGGAUGAUGCAGCGUACAAAGUCUGAAGUUUUUUUUUUUUGCACUUGAAAGAAAUGAAGAUGCAAUGCCAGUGAGACAGAUGAAUUUUAGGAGGACACACUUUUGUCAGUGAGAGAUGCAUCCUUCAUAUUAUUCAGUGUACGAACAGGGGAAGACACCAUGAUUCUCCAACCAUCUACAAAAGAUUUAUGAUUCAAAAGAUUCAUUUAUGCUUGAAAGAUUAAAUGAUGUGAGACUCCAAAUCUCCCAGGAAGAAUCUCCUAAAAACGAUUAGUCGAUUGUUCUACAGGAUUGACAGUACAAGAGAGGACACAAGCAGCCAGCUGUCUGGGAAUCAUAAUGUUAAUUCAAUAGAGCUACGAUGCUAAGUUAAGUCACUUCUGUCUCUGGGAGACUACAUUUGAUAUUGUCUAAUGUUAUACUGAAAUGGAUUCGUAUUUAGGGUUCCCAUACAUUUCAAUCAAUGACUUAGGACUAUUUCCAAUAUAACAUUUUAGAGAAAUAUCACUCACAAAGAGCAAUUUCUGCUCAUAACAAGAAAAUCACUAGCAUUUCAUAACACAUUGCCAAGACAAGGAUUUUAAUAUAUUUCCUGGUUUGAAAUCCAUG